UACAGAGACUGCAAGCGUUUAUUCGGAUUCACUGGGCGUAAAGGGUGCGCAGGCGGUUGGGUGUGUCAGAUGUGAAAUCCCGAGGCUUAACCUCGGAACUGCGUCUGAAACUACUCGACUAGAGUACUGGAGAGGGAAACGGAAUUCACGGUGUAGCAGUGAAAUGCGUAGAUAUCGAUGAGGAACACCAGAGGCGAAGGCGGUUUCCUGGACAGUUACUGACGCUCAGGCACGAAAGCAUGGGGAGCAAAGGG
rnacentral:rRNA from 1 species